rnacentral:rRNA from 1 species
AUGGCAAUGCUGGUGGAUCCUCCGAAUGGCAUGGGAAACCAAGGGAAGCACUACUACUCAAUGUGGCAAACCUUGUUUGAGAUUGACACCAAGUAUGUGCCUAUCAAGCCCAUCGGCCGAGGAGCUUAUGGAAUAGUUUGCUCAUCCAUAAACCGUGAGACAAACGAGAAAGUAGCGAUAAAGAAGAUACAUAAUGUAUUCGACAACCGUGUGGAUGCACUAAGGACCUUGCGGGAGCUGAAACUCCUCCGGCAUCUCCGCCAUGAGAAUGUUAUUUCUUUGAAGGAUAUAAUGAUGCCUGUACAAAGGAGGAGCUUUAAGGAUGUGUACUUGGUUUAUGAGCUCAUGGAUACUGACCUGCAUCAGAUAAUCAAAUCGCCUCAGGGGCUUUCCAAUGACCACUGCCAAUAUUUUCUUUUUCAGUUGCUUCGAGGACUGAAAUACCUCCAUUCAGCAGAGAUACUCCACAGAGACCUAAAACCUGGGAACCUACUGGUGAAUGCAAACUGUGAUCUGAAGAUAUGUGAUUUUGGUCUUGCACGUACAAACAGUAGUAAAGGCCAGUUUAUGACUGAAUACGUCGUCACCCGCUGGUACAGGGCUCCUGAGUUGCUGCUUUGCUGUGACAACUACGGCACUUCCAUCGAUGUUUGGUCUGUUGGCUGCAUCUUUGCUGAGCUACUUGGCCGCAAGCCUAUUUUUCCUGGGACAGAGUGCCUCAAUCAGCUAAAACUGAUAGUCAAUGUUCUUGGCACCAUGAGCGAGUCUGACCUGGAGUUCAUCGACAACCCAAAGGCUCGCAGAUAUAUCAAGACCCUUCCCUACACUCCCGGUGUUCCACUCGCAAGUAUGUACCCACAUGCACAUCCUCUGGCCAUCGAUCUAUUACAGAAGAUGCUCAUCUUCGAUCCUACUAAAAGGAUCAGUGUUACCCAGGCCCUUGAACACCCUUACAUGUCUCCUCUUUAUGACCCAAGUGCAAACCCUCCCGCGCAAGUGCCCAUCGAUCUUGACAUAGAUGAGAACAUCAGCUCAGAGAUGAUCAGGGAAAUGAUGUGGCAGGAGAUGCUUCACUACCACCCUGAAGCCGCCACGGCAGUAAACAUGUGA